rnacentral:tRNA from 1 species
AGCGGAGUAGAGCAGAGGUCAGCUCGUCAGGCUCAUAACCUGAAGGUCGCGGGUUCGAAUCCCACCUCCGCAA